rnacentral:rRNA from 1 species
AAGCUCGUAGUUGGAUUUCUGGUAGGAGCUCUUGGUCCGCUGCUUUUGUGGUGUGUACUUUUUGAGUCUCUAGCCAUCCUUGAGGAGAUGCAUGCUGUCAUUGAUUUGUCGGUGUGUGGAACCUCAUCGUUUACUGUGAAAAAAUUAGAGUGUUUAAAGCAGGCUUACGCCGUUGAAUACAUUAGCAUGGAAUAAUAAGAUAGGACUAGGGUGUCUAUUUUGUUGGUUUGCACACCUUAUGUAAUGAUUAAUAGGGUCAGUUGGGGGUAUUCGUAUUUACUUGUCAGAGGUGAAAUUCUUAGAUUUCGGAAAGACGAACUACUGCGAAAGCUUUUACCAAGGAUGUUUUCAUUAAUCAAGAACGAAAGUUAGGGGAUCGAAGAUGAUUAGAUACCAUCGUAGUCUUUAACCAUAAACUAUGCCCGACUCGGGGAUUUGGUGGGGGAUUUAAUUAACGACUCCAUCAGCACCCGUAUGUGAAAAACAAAAGUCUUUGGGUUCCCGGGGGGGAGUAUGGUCGCAAGGCUUGAAAACUUAAAAGGAAUUUGACGGAAGGGGCACCCACCAGGAGUGGGAGCCUGCGGCUUAAUUUUGACUCAAACACGGGGAAAACUUUACCAGGGCCCAGACAUAGUGAGGAUUGACAGAUUGAGAGCUCUUUCUUGAUUCUAUGGGUGGGGGUGCAUGGGCCGGUCUUAGUUGGUGGAGUGAUUUGUCUGGUUAAUUCCGUUAACGAACGGAGACCUCCGCCUGCUAAUUAGUCGUACUAAUGUUUUGCAUUGAUUACGUCUUCUUAGAGGGACUUUUGGUGACUAACCAAAGGAAGUUGGAGGCAAUAACAGGUCUGUGAUGCCUUUAGAUGUUCUGGGCCGCACGCG